GGUUGGUGCAAAAGUAUUUGUGGUUUUUGCUAUUAGUUUCAAUGGUAAAAGCCACAGUUACUUUUGCACCAAACC
rnacentral:pre_miRNA from 1 species